AGAGAUAAGUAACAAAAUUAUAUCUUAACUCUGUUAGAUCCUUAGGCUCCAAAAUGGACUUGUCAUAUUCUCAUUUUUUCCAAAGAUUUUUUUCCACCUGGAAUAAGAAAAAACUGGUGGAAACAUUUGAGCUGGAAAGAUUUAUGGGCAAAAGAAAAUAGGCCAAACCCUUGCAAUAUACCCUGUUCAAGUGAAAGUACAGUGUCUGAGAAUAAGAAUACUUCUUUAAAAACAAGUGGUUUUAAUACAAUCUUAAUUAGUAAGUAAAGGUUUACAUUUUUUCUAUUGCUAUUGGUUUUAAAAUUUGCUACCCUGCAUUCUGAAAUAUUAUAAAAGUUAAUACCAAAAAAUACUUUUAUUGUCUGACAUCUCUUACAUUUCACAUGGUUCUUUUUAUUCAAACAUCACUGUAAAUAAAAGUAAACUUGGAUAAAUCUGAGAAUAAACUUUUAAUGUUGCAAACUAUGAUUAUCAAUUUGUAAAUUUACCCUUUGACCUAAUGUACAUUUUUAAUGUAGCCAUUAAAUUCUCUAUAUUUAAUCUGUUAGUUUCUCUCUGUAAACGUUUUUAAUCUCAUUUGAAUGCUGGGCAGUUUAUAAUUAUGUACAAAGGUGUUCUUUUCCUAUCCAGGUUGACUUUUUUGCACAUUUUUGGAAAUGUUUAUUUGUACACUGAUUUACUACUCUGACAGUCAUCGUUGAUGGGUGUGUGAGCAUCGUGAAUGCGGAUGCGUGCAUUGAACUACUGUCUGUCUCUGUGUUUAAACUUCUUUUAAGAUGUAACCGUCAGUAACUGCACUGCUAUUACUGACUUAAAUGGACACUCUUGCUUUUACAAAGUAUACUUAUCUAUGGUUCUAUCUUUGUUGAAGAACUCAGGAGUUCAACAUCACUUUCUGAUUUUGUAUGCUUUCUAAAAUCCAUGACUAAGUUGAAAGUAUGCUUGUACUCUGUGUGUCAGGGGAUGUGUGUGUGUGGAAAUGUCUUUUUCUGUCUGUAGGCACAUGUAUAUAUCCCAGUAAUUUCUUAUUUUCAUUUCUACAUUUUUAUGAACUUGUUUUAUAAAGGUACUGUUUAGUUAGAAUAAUUAAAUAUAUAUAAAGCUUUCUGAGAGAUUAUUUACUAUAUGAAUAUAUUUUCAGCUGGCUGAUCAAAAGUAUUUUUUUAAUUUUGUUUUUAACCAUUCAAAAUGUAUUUGUAUUUCCACAAUUGGAUGCAGAUUUACUUAAAUAUCUACCAAUUAAAACACUCUUGCAAAGAAGAACAUUGAAUUCUCUUUGAGAAUUCUGCAAAAUGCAAAUUAAGAGGGGAAAAAAAGGUUUUAAGCAGAAGCAAAAACACUGUCCACUAAAACAGCCUUUGAAUUCUCAGAGCUAUGAAAAAAUGAGAAAUUAAAUUAUCUUGAAGAGAUGUCAAGGUUUUUAUAUCACCAGUUGCUGUUGGCCUGUCCUACGUUGUUUUUUAAUAUUUCCUUUAUUCUACCCCAAAGAUUUCAACAUUUAGUUCUCUCACUGGGCAAGGCCAUACCUCAUUUAUAAAAUACAUCGACAUAUUGUGAUUCUCUGUAAUUGACUAUAAAUCAGUUUAAAAAUGUCCAAACAUACAUUGUUGUGUCUUUAUGCUGUACUGUGUGUUUUAAGUAACUGGCAGAAAAAGAAUUGGGAAUUAAAUUUCCAGUCAGACAAUGUGAGAAAAAAAUAAGAAAAAUCUUUUGUUUUUAAUAUGCGGUACCACGUGAAAUGACUUAAUGUUAGGAAUAAAGUCCACUGUUGAAGUCGAAUGUCACUAAGCUUAUUGUGUUAUAAGGAGCCGGUAUGAUUAGAAAAACCUACCAGAAGCCAGAUACAGUGUGGUAUGUGCCACAUUUCAUGCACAUUUUGACUUUGUGUUCUUUCACAAUUGUGCUUGUAAAAAUGUAUAAAAUUUCUGAGUUUUACAGUUUUUAUGUACUUGUUUUUUCUUGCUGGUAAAUAGCUUUUUUUUUAAACCAAUGUGAAAGAGACCAUGUUUAUAUUUUGUUAGUGACCAAUGACUUUGUUUAUAUGGAAAUUUGUAUAUUGUUGGCACACAUCUCUGUUUAGAUUUAUCGUGCAUGAAGGCCUGCAAUAAUUAGCACAACAAAAACUGCUUUUUCUUACAUGUUCAUUUUUUGAAAGAUUGUGGUGCAAAGGCUUACUCUGAGUAACCUUCUGGACUAUGGAAUGAAUAUAAAUGAAUGGCACUUUGAGUGUUAAUAAAGCUGAUAUUUAUUUCCACUGUGAUGGCUGUGUCCACAUCUGUUCUUGGUCACGUGUGCUCAUGGCGCAGUGGUUAACGAAUCCGACUAGGAACCAUGAGGUUGCGGGUUCGGUCCCUGCCCUUGCUCAGUGGGUUAACGAUCCGGCGUUGCCGUGAGCUGUGGUAUAGGUUGCAGACACGGCUCGGAUCCCGCGUUGCUGUGGCUCUGGCGUAGGCCGGUGGCUACAGCUCCGACUCAACCCCUAGCCUGGGAACCUCCAUAUGCCGCGGGAGCAGCCCAAGAAAUAGCAACAA
ensembl:lncRNA